GGGAAUCUUCCGCAAUGGGCGAAAGCCUGACGGAGCAACGCCGCGUGAGGGAUGAAGGCCUCUGGGCUGUAAACCUCUUUUCUCAAGGAAGAAGAUCUGACGGUACUUGAGGAAUAAGCCACGGCUAAUUCCGUGCCAGCAGCCGCGGUAAUACGGGAGUGGCAAGCGUUAUCCGGAAUUAUUGGGCGUAAAGCGUCCGCAGGCGGCCUUGUAAGUCUGUCGUUAAAGCGUGGAGCUUAACUCCAUUUCAGCGGUGGAAACUACAAGGCUUGAGUGUGGUAGGGGCAGAGGGAAUUCCCGGUGUAGCGGUGAAAUGCGUAGAUAUCGGGAAGAACACCAGUGGCGAAGGCGCUCUGCUGGGCCAUAACUGACGCUCAUGGACGAAAGCCAGGGGAGCGAAAGGGAUUAGAUACCCCUGUAGUC
rnacentral:rRNA from 1 species